UUUUAAACCUCUUCCAUUGCACACUGCCAAUGAUCACAGCUGACUCUGUUCUGAGUAACACCUUGGCAAGAAAAAAGGAGCAAUAAGGAGAUGGGCAGCUGUUUCUCAUUGGUACUCCUCGUGGCCUCCAUAAAAACUCAUUUUUCCACUGGAUUUCAGGAAAGUACAGGUAGGAAAAAAAUAAAAUGGCAGAAGACGAGGCUGGUGAUGAAGAAGAAGACAAAGAAGGAGCAACUGCAACUUCCAGG